rnacentral:rRNA from 1 species
CCUACGGGAGGCAGCAGUAAGGAAUAUUGGACAAUGGUCGCAAGACUGAUCCAGCCAUGCCGCGUGCAGGAUGACUGCCCUAUGGGUUGUAAACUGCUUUUGUACGGGAAUAAACCCCUCUACGUGUAGAGGGCUGAAUGUACCGUAAGAAUAAGGGUCGGCUAACUUCGUGCCAGCAGCCGCGGUAAGACGAAGGACCCAAGCGUUAUCCGGAUUCAUUGGGUUUAAAGGGUGCGUAGGCGGAUUGAUAAGUCAGUGGUGAAAGCCUGUUGCUUAACAACAGAACUGCCAUUGAUACUGUUGAUCUUGAAUAUGUUUGAUGUGGGCGGAAUAUGACAUGUAGCGGUGAAAUGCUUAGAUAUGUCAUAGAACACCGAUUGCGAAGGCAGCUCACAAAGCCAUUAUUGACGCUGAGGCACGAAAGCGUGGGGAUCAAACAGGAUUAGAUACCCUGGUAGUCCACGCUGUAAACUUUGAUCACUCGCUGUUGGCGAUACACAGUCAGCGGCUAAGCGAAAGCGUUAAGUGAUCCACCCUGGGGAGUACGAUCGCAAGAUUGAAACUUCAAAGGAAUUGACGGGCUUGGAGACGNGCGAGCGANACGAGGGAGAGG